rnacentral:rRNA from 1 species
AUUGAACGCUGGCGGCAUGCCUUACACAUGCAAGUCGAACGGUAACAGGUCUUCGGAUGCUGACGAGUGGCGAACGGGUGAGUAAUACAUCGGAACGUGCCCGAGAGUGGGGGAUAACGAGGCGAAAGCUGUGCUAAUACCGCAUACGAUCUAUGGAUGAAAGCGGGGGACCGUAAGGCCUCGCGCGAUUGGAGCGGCCGAGGUCAGAUUAGGUAGUUGGUGGGGUAAAGGCCUACCAAGCCGACGAUCUGUAGCUGGUCUGAGAGGACGACCAGCCACACUGGGACUGAGACACGGCCCAGACUCCUACGGGAGGCAGCAGUGGGGAAUUUUGGACAAUGGGCGCAAGCCUGAUCCAGCAAUGCCGCGUGCAGGAAGAAGGCCUUCGGGUUGUAAACUGCUUUUGUACGGAACGAAACGGCCUGGGUUAAUACCCUGGGCUAAUGACGGUACCGUAAGAAUAAGCACCGGCUAACUACGUGCCAGCCGCCGCAGUAAUAC